rnacentral:rRNA from 1 species
ACCUACGGGACGCAGCAGUGAGGAAUAUUGGUCAAUGGCCGCAGGGCUGAACCAGCCAAGUCGCGUGAGGGAUGACGGUCCUAUGGAUUGUAAACCUCUUUUGUCAGGGAACAAAGACUGGGACGCGUCCCCGGAUGAGUGUACCUGAAGAAAAAGCAUCGGCUAACUCCGUGCCAGCAGCCGCGGUAAUACGGAGGAUGCGAGCGUUAUCCGGAUUUAUUGGGUUUAAAGGGUGCGCAGGCGGUCUGUUAAGUCAGCGGUCAAAGCCCGGGGCUCAACCCCGGCCCGCCGUUGAAACUGGCAGU